UUGAAUCAAAGAGAAAGAAAUCAAGGCUUUUAUUAGGCAUGAACUCAUAUAUGAGCAAUUUUUCCUCUCCCUCUAUGGUACAUCCCAAGAGCCUCACAAGGUUCCGGUGUUGGAGUUUUGCAAUUAGUAUGAUUUCAUUCUUCAACUCCAGCAACCCAUGAAAUGACUUCUUUGACAACCUUUUAACAGCUAUUUCCUUCCCGUCUGCUAACACACCCUUGUAAACAGUGCCAAACCCGCCACGCCCAAGUUUAUUUGAAUCCGAAAAGUUGUCUGUUGCUUCUCUUAUAGUAGUUAGAUCCAUAACAGGAAGCUCCACGGAAUUCGGCAAAUUACCUUCUUCUGUCAUACUAGGGCUUGCCAAGUCCUGUAACAAUUCGGGCAGGUCUUUUCCUUUUUCCUGUUCUUUUCCUCUUUUCCGCUGCAAAUAGACAAGACCAGACCCAACGAGAAUUGCUAUUAGCACCGUUGGUAUUCCCACAACAAGCAGGAUCAUCUUCCGGUUAUCUCCUG
rnacentral:misc_RNA from 1 species